AGAUCAGAAAACCAUAGUAUCCAUCUGGCUGAUGCGGUACUCUAUCGGAUCUCCUUAAUGGUGCCUCUACUGGCUCCGGAUUCGAUUCACCAAUCGAACCCAAUUCUAUAUGUGUUGGUCCUUCCACCUCAUGAACUUCAUCAAGUUCAAUUUUACAGACAUUAGCUCCUUCACCAAGAAACUCCUUUUCCAAAAAGACUGCUCAACUGCUGACAAACAUCUUUUAUUCUGCAGCAAGGUAGAAGUAGUACCUUUUAGUUUCCUUUGGGUACCCUAUGAACAAGCAUCUAUCGAACUUCAGUCCAAGCUUAUCUGUCUUUAAAUGCUUGACAUAAGCUGGACACCCCCAAACCC
rnacentral:lncRNA from 1 species